AACAAUAGAAUUCAGACCUGUCUUGGCGGUAGUGCAAUGCAGUAAUUCUCAAAUUUUUUAUUGGCAUAAAUAAUUCAGACAUUGGUUUCUCACUAACAUUGCACUAAACACAAGAAACAACAGGCUUGCCGGCUCAGAGGCAGACAAACUGUCCAACAGCCCAAGUUAGAAAUACUUUUUUUAGAAGUGUAGAAAACUUUAUAAAUGAUUCUGUACAAAUAUACACAGUGGACCCUCCAUCCAUCUGGCCUUUCUUUCCUGGAUGGCAUCUGAAUAGAGUGUUCUUUCUCAGCAACAAGACAUUGGCAACAAGUGAGAAAGAGAGAGACAGAGACGGAGACAGACAGAGAUAGAAACGGAAAGGAAAAGAAAGAAGUGGCCCCAAAAAAGAAAACAUGAAACCACCUUCUUACAUCAACUCAUUCUGCAACAGUCGACACAAACAAACAUGGAGAAAAGAAUAUGGACCAUCGGUCCGCGUUGUGAACUGGAAAUUGCAAGGAAGGUAGAAAAGGCCCUUCACUAUCUGGGAGACUUUCCUUCCUGCGGAAUACAGAAGGG
rnacentral:lncRNA from 1 species